AUUGAACGCUGGCGGCGUGCCUAAUACAUGCAAGUGAAGUGCAGUUGCGAACGGGUGAGUAACGCGUGAGUAACCUGCCCUCUUUUUGGGAUAAGCCUUUGAAACGGGGUCUAAUACCGGAUAAAGGGGGAUGGGCUCGCGGCCUAUCAGCUUGUUGGUGGGGUGAUGGCCUACCAAGGCGGUGACGGGUAGCCGGCCUGAGGGGGUGACAGGCUAAAUUGGGACGGAGAGACGGCCCAGAGUCGUAGGGGAGGGAGAAGUGGGGGAUAUUGAAGAAUGGGCGAAAGCCUGAUGAAGCGAAGCGGCGUGGGGGAUGAAGGCUUUCGGGUUGUAAACCUCUUGAGCUAUCGAACGGGUAGGAGGAGAAGAAGCGCCGGCUAACUACGUGCCAGCAGCCACGGUAAUAC
rnacentral:rRNA from 1 species